UACGGAGGGAGCUAGCGUUGUUCGGAAAUACUGGGCGUAAAGCGCACGUAGGCGGCGCAGCAAGUCAGGGGUGAAAUCCCGGGGCUCAACCCCGGAACUGCCCUUGAAACUGCAGUGCUAGAAUUCUGGAGAGGCGAGUGGAAUUCCGAGUGUAGAGGUGAAAUUCGUAGAUAUUCGGAAGAACACCAGUGGCGAAGGCGGCUCACUGGUCCGGUACUGACGCUGAGGUGCGAAAGCGUGGGGAGCAAACAGG
rnacentral:rRNA from 1 species